AUCCUUUACUUUAGUGCAUAUAUUUGUGUGUUUUAUUUUUAAUUAGGCGAAAAGUUUUAAAACACCCAAUUCACCCCCCUCUUGGGUGACCAUCUCUGGGCAACACAUAUCAAAUAUCAUCACAAUUAUAGCGAUAUUUUAUCGGUGUGGUAUGAUACAUCUGGUAUUAAGCAAUAUAUGCGAUAUGACGAAUAUGUUAGUUGGUAUGCUUGCAAAUGAUAUAUUGUUUCUUUCCAAAGUUUACUAGAGUUACUUGUAAUGCUGCAGGAUUUAAAUUCUUUUGUUGUCCAUUCAAAUUUUUUGCUGUUCAUUUUUGAUGGAAUCAAAAUGUUUGUAGAAACUAAAGUAGAUCUUAUGUAGGAAAUUAAUUCUGCAAUUUUUUUGUCUUCCAUGUGCAAAGAUUGAUGACAAUCUCCUCUUUCAUAAGCUGAAUGGGAGACUAGAUGGCUGGAAAUGGGGAUGUUCUCUCUAGGGGUAGCAAUGGAUCGGGCCUGUUUGGGAUUGGAUCAGGUCAGCUAAAGAUAAAAACUUAUAAAUAUCUUGACCCAUAUCCAGUCCAACUUGACAUUAGACAAGACCUCUCAACCAUUGCUCACCCAUAAGUUGUUCGUUCACUCAUUUGACGCUAAUAUGAUCAAUUUUACAAGAUCCAAUUCCUCAUAGACCUAGCCUAAUCUAUCAAAUCCAAUCCUUAUAAUUCUCACGACUAUUUUUUAAACUGGUAUUAAGAAAAACCAAUACACAUAAAAUUUUUAUCUAAGAUCAUGUCUCAACCCGACCUAAGUUGUUUGGACUCAAAUAGAACCUUACCCAUCAUGACCCAAAUUGGACCAAAGCUCCUAUUUAAGUUCGGUUUACAAAAUUUGAUCCAUUCGGACUCUAACGGGAAAACCUUCACCCAGACUUGGCCCAAAUAGGGUCAGGUCAGGAUGGGUUCCCAGGACGGAUCAUUUUUCCCGCCCUAGCUGUCUCCAGUGAGCUGAAUAACUCUCUUGCAAUCUUAGUUUCAACCUGAACCUUCUUACUAAGUGACCGGCUUUGCGGGCAAUUGAUGAAUUGGAGCAGAUGUUCAAAUCCUUUCCACGGGGGCAAUCAUCUGAUAGAAGAAAAACUUUUAUUUGCUUUCCGGGGAAGCGGUGUGCCAACUCUGAACUUUGGAAGGUCUGGGUAAUUCAGUCAUUGCACGCUCGCAAAAUAUCUAUGACAGGUUGGUGACGAAUGUAUCUUGUUUUGUGGAGGGCCAUCAACAUUGGAGCUACUAUCAGUCAGGUGGUUCUAAAUGGUGCUAAGCUUGGAGAUUGAAUCAACUUGGUUCUAAAUGGUGCUAAGCUUGGAGAUUGAAUCAACUUGUAGCACUAUCCUUGCUUGACGACUAUGCUGCUGAAUUUGGAAAUAUGGAUCAAUUAGUACCGUGAUUACCUGAUUGCGGCUUUCCUUAUCAACCCUAAGCAACAGCUGGAUGCUUAAUUGCUAGGUACAAUAUUUCCUCCUGAGUACUUUAUGAUUUCUGCUACAAAAUGGUUGAAUUUUUUGGAAAAAUUACAGAUUUACUCUCUCUAGUUUGAGCGGUUCUUAUUUAGACCUGCUCUCCUUUAAAAAUUUUAAAUUGGAUCCAUUGAGUUAUUAAACUGACCCAUUAUGGUUCUACAGUCCGUGAACACCCACCACCAUUAGCUUGCCAUCACAAAAGACAUGGAUGCCCUCUUCAUCCUUGUUCGGAUAUCUAGCACCAUCGCCUUGCCAAUCCUCACCCAGGGCUUCGGCAUGGCAUGCAUUGCUAAGCUCUGUCGGUGUUAUGGAAGAUGAAAUAAGAUCUAAGGCCGAAGAAUUAGACGUGGUAGGCUGUCCACUUCCGAAUCCAGCUAAUGCUCAAAUGGUGGUUGGAAAUGAGCGUUAUUGUAGGUGCUAGGGAAUUCUUUGAGAGGAACAAACUUUGUAAAUUUUGUCUGUGAAGUGAAUUUCGUUAGUGGUGGGUUAGGUUGGAGUUGAGGAGAGCAGUUGGAGGUGAAGAGGAGGGGAUGGUAGAGUUGAAGCUGCAAGACAGCCAUCAAGAGGGUGAGGACGAUUUGGCCGGGGCUUUGGCCACUUGUGGCCACCGAUGAGUGGGGGCCGGGCCGCCAUGGGUGACCCUUGGACUUGUCAGGGAAUGGAUGUUUUGAGACCAAGGCAAGGGAGGGGGUGCUCUCAUCGACCCUACCAACUUUGCUGGCGUUCGCAAGUGUUUGAUGCCAUGCACAACGUUGAGUGGCCCCUCCUCUCCAUCCUCCAUGUUGACCUACCUAGCUACAUCUCUAUUCUCAAGUAUCUCAAGGAGGUGGCCUUGGAUAAGCUCCCCCUUGGAGGGAGGCCUCCUCGACCCGCCUUUGACAAGCUCAAGGCUAGGUUCUACCAUUUCCCAUUUGACCACAUCACCCCCAUCCCUGUGCCCUCCUCCUCUUCCAUAGCCAACAAUGAUGGUCGUGCUGCCAUUGCCCCCACUCCUCUUCCAAUCUUGGUCAUUCAAAAACUACAUGCCAUCCUCAAGCACAUGACUACCAACAACCACCUCGAUAGCUACAUCACCUCCUAUAUCGACAUUUGGGACUCUAACAUCCAUGCUAGCCUCCAUGCCCUUGUUGCUGCCCUUUCCAUUCUUUUUGGGCAUUUAGAAAACUUGGGAUCCCUAGGGAAGUCGACUGGUUGGGGCAAAGGGUACGUUGCUAAGCUUACUUAGUCAAGGGUGCAUCGCUGAGCUUGCUUGGAAAAGGUGCGCAGGCAUGCCAACGACAUUGGUCUAGUUGGAAAGAUAUUGAUGGAAGAAAGGAUAAAGAGGAGUGUGGAUUCAGGUACCCUGAUCUUUAAGGACUUUCUUCAUCGUCACACCACCAUUCGAAGGAGAUUGGCGCAGACAGGGUGGGUAGGAGGCUAAAAAUUGGUGAUGGUGGUCUCUUUUUUCUUCUUCUUCUUCUUGUUCUUUCUUUGUCAACGGUGGCUAGGGCUCUUUGUGGGUGAAGGGAGGAAGAAGAAGAUGGGUUGCUGGCUGAAUUAGAUUGGGCUUGAGGAUGAGUAGCCGGAUGACUGAAAUUGGACAUCAAUUAGAGGUGGUGGCUGCAAUUGAUUGGACCAAAGGUUCAUUAGGCUGAAGUGUGGUUAGUUGGAGUUUCAUUUGGAGAGGGACUCUAAGGAGGACGUGAAAGGGUUGGGAUGUGCUGGGGCUUUACUAGUUGCUGAUGUGGCAAGAUAAGGAGGGGUGAACAAGAAGAGGCGUGAAUUAAGGAAAGGAUAAGUAUGACUUGGAUGUGAGAGUCUCACCCAAAUCCAAAUCAAAGGAGGCGUUGAAGAGGAUAGGCAUCUCACCUUUUCCUUCAGCCUUUUGGCGUUGCACCAAGGGAAGAAUCACUCCUCGCAUGAAGCAAAACAAGAAUUUUUAAAACAGUAAAAACUGAUUUCAUUCUUCAUACUUUUUCUUAUAUAGAGAGAGAGGUUGGUAAAGAUAAGAAGUUACAACCAGAAAUUUUAUUUGGACUCCUAACCACAUAA